rnacentral:rRNA from 1 species
AUGCAAGUCGAGCGGCAGCGGGAAAGUAGCUUGCUACUUUUGCCGGCGAGCGGCGGACGGGUGAGUAAUGCCUGGGAAAUUGCCCAGUCGAGGGGGAUAACAGUUGGAAACGACUGCUAAUACCGCAUACGCCCUACGGGGGAAAGCAGGGGACCUUCGGGCCUUGCGCGAUUGGAUAUGCCCAGGUGGGAUUAGCUAGUUGGUGAGGUAAUGGCUCACCAAGGCGACGAUCCCUAGCUGGUCUGAGAGGAUGAUCAGCCACACUGGAACUGAGACACGGUCCAGACUCCUACGGGAGGCAGCAGUGGGGAAUAUUGCACAAUGGGGGAAACCCUGAUGCAGCCAUGCCGCGUGUGUGAAGAAGGCCUUCGGGUUGUAAAGCACUUUCAGCGAGGAGGAAAGGUCAGUAGCUAAUAUCUGCUGGCUGUGACGUUACUCGCAGAAGAAGCACCGGCUAACUCCGUGCCAGCAGCCGCGGUUAAU